CGGACGGGUGAGUAACGCGUGAGAAUCUGGCUUCAGGUCUGGGACAACCACUGGAAACGGUGGCUAAUACCGGAUGUGCCGAAAGGUGAAAGGUUAACUGCCUGAAGAUGAGCUCGCGUCUGAUUAGCUAGUUGGAAGUGUAAUGGACUCCCAAGGCGACGAUCAGUAGCUGGUCUGAGAGGACGAUCAGCCACACUGGGACUGAGACACGGCCCAGACUCCUACGGGAGGCAGCAGUGGGGAAUUUUCCGCAAUGGGCGAAAGCCUGACGGAGCAAUACCGCGUGAGGGAGGAAGGCUCUUGGGUCGUAAACCUCUUUUCUCAGGGAAGAACACAAUGACGGUACCUGAGGAAUAAGCAUCGGCUAACUCCGUGCCAGCAGCCGCGGUAAUACGGAGGAUGCAAGCGUUAUCCGGAAUGAUUGGGCGUAAAGCGUCCGCAGGUGGCUAUGUAAGUCUGCUGUUAAAGAGUCUAGCUCAACUAGAUAAAAGCAGUGGAAACUACAUUGCUAGAGUACGUUCGGGGCAGAGGGAAUUCCUGGUGUAGCGGUGAAAUGCGUAGAGAUCAGGAAGAACACCAGUGGCGAAGGCGCUCUGCUAGGCCGCAACUGACACUGAGGGACGAAAGCUAGGGGAGCGAAUGGGAUUAGAUACCCCAGUAGUC
rnacentral:rRNA from 1 species